AUGUAUGAUAUUAAAGGUCGAACAGACCUAUAAAUCAAGCUACUACACCUGAUUAUUAUCUUAAUCCAACAUCGAGGUCGCAAGCCUUCCUGUAAAUUUGAACUCUGGAGGAAGAUUACGCUGUUAUCCCUAAGGUAACUUAGUCUAAUAAUCAAUAAUAAUGGAUCUAAAAAUCAUAAAUUAAUGUAAAAUAAAUAAUAAAAGUUAAUUGUAUAUUCUUUGUCACCCCAACAAAAAAGUUAAAUUAAUAGCUUUAAAAAAUUAAAUAAUAAUAGCAAUAAAAAUAAACCUUAAAGCUCUAUAGGGUCUUCUCGUCCCUCAAAAAAAUCGGAGCCUUUUGACUCAAAAGCUAAAUUCAAUAUUAUUAAACCGAGACAGUUAGUACUUCGUCAAACCUUUCAUUCCAGCCUUCUAUUAAAAGACUAAUGAUUAUGCUACCUUUGCACGGUCAAAAUACCGCGGCCGUUAAAAAUAAAUUCACCGGCAGGCAUGACCUCACAUAAAACACAAGAGGUCAUGUUUUUG
rnacentral:rRNA from 1 species